rnacentral:rRNA from 1 species
AUGGCGGGCGGGCUGGGGCGUGGCUGCUCCGGCUGGUGUCUGCGGAUCCGUGGUGGUGGCGGUGUGCCACGGAUCGACGUGGGCGGUGCGGCAGCGUCGCUCGAGGUGGUGGAGAGAUGUCCUGGUGAUGGCGGUGUUGGCCCAUGGAUGGUAGGCGGGUGUUGGCUGGUGGCGGAGCGGCUCCGGAAAGAGGAUCCUCAGUGUGGAAGCUGGGGCGGCGGCCCCGGAAAACCAUGCGGCAAGGUGGCGGGGUGGUUCGAGAUCUUGGCGGCGUGUGGUUGUUGCUGGCUGAUCUGUGGCUCGACGACGGCGACAUGCUACUUCCCUCUCCACGGUAAUGGCCCAAGGUGA